rnacentral:rRNA from 1 species
CCUACGGGGGGCAGCAGUGAGGAAUCUUGGUCAAUAGACGAGAGUCUGAACCAGCCAAGUAGCGUGAAGGAUGACUGCCCUAUGGGUUGUAAACUUCUUUUAUAUGGGAAUAAAACAGGGUAUGCAUACCCUCUUGUAUUUACCAUAUGAAUAAGGAUCGGCUAACUCCGUUCCAGCAGCCGCGGUAAUACGGAGGAUCCGAGCGUUAUCCGGAUUUAUUUGGUUGAAAGGGAGCGUAGGUGGAUUGUUAAGUCAGUUGUGAAAGUUAUCGGCUCAACCGUAAAAUUGCAGUUGAUACUGGCAGUCUUGAGUACAGUAGAGGUGGGCGGAAUUCGUGGUGUAGCGGUGAAAUGCUUAGAU